GACGAACGCUGGCGGCGUGCUUAACACAUGCAAGUCGAGCGGUGCUGCGAACUGGUGAGUAACGCGUCAGCAACUGCCCCCCUCUCUGGGUUCACAGUUGGAAACGGCUGCUAAUACCGGAUAGUGGGGGAUGACUCGCGUCCUAUCAGCUUGUUGGUGGGGUAGUGGCCUACCAAGGCGACGACGGGUAGCCGGCCUGAGAGGGCGACCGGCCACAUUGGGCUGAGAUACGGCCCAAACUCCUACGGGAGGCAGCAGUGGGGAAGAUUGCACAAUGGGGGAAAGCCUGAUGCAGCAACGCCGCGUGCGGGGGGACGGCCUGCGGGUUGUAAGCGACUUUCAGCAUGGACGCGGUAGUGGCAGAAGAAGCAACGGCUAACUACGUGCCAGCAGCCGCGGUAAUAC
rnacentral:rRNA from 1 species